GACGAACGCUGGCGGCGUGCCUAAUACAUGCAAGUCGAACGCAGUGGGGACGGGUGAGUAACACGUGGGUAACCUCCCAUCAGAGGGGAUAACACUUGGAAACAGGUGCUAAACCGAUAUUGAUGGAUGGACCCGCGGUGCAUUAGCUAGUUGGUGAGGUAACGGCUCACCAAGGCCACGAUGCAUAGGCGACCUGGGAGGUGGAUCGGCAACACGUGGACUUGGACACGGCCCAGACGCCCACGGGAGGCAGCAGUAGGGAAUCUUCGGCAAUGGUUGAAAGUCUGACCGAGCAACGCAGCGGGAGUGAAGAAGGUUUUCGGAGCGGAAAGCGCUGGUAGUCGGGACGCGGUACCGGAAUAGAAAGCCACGGCUAACUACGUGCCAGCAGCCGCGGUAAUUC
rnacentral:rRNA from 1 species